rnacentral:rRNA from 1 species
CCUACGGGAGGCAGCAGUGAGGAAUAUUGGUCGGUGGACGAGAGUCUGAACCAGCCAAGUAGCGUGAAGGAUGACUGCCCGAUGGGUUGUAAACUUCUUUUAUAUGGGAAUAAAAUGUUCCACGUGUGGGAUUUUGUAUGUACCAUAUGAAUAAGGAUCGGCUAACUCCGUGCCAGCAGCCGCGGUAAUACGGAGGAUACGAGCGUUAUCCGGAUUUAUUGGGUUUAAAGGGAGCGUAGGUGGAUUGUUAAGUCAGUUGUGAAAGUUUGCGGCUCAACCGUAAAAUUGCAGUUGAAACUGGCAGUCUUGAGUACAGUAGAGGUGGGCGGAAUUCGUGGUGUAGCGGUGAAAUGCUUAGAUAUCACGAAGAACUCCGAUUGCGAAGGCAGUUCACUGGACUGCAACUGACACUGAGGCUCGAAAGUGUGGGUAUCAAACAGGAUUAGAUACCCUUGUAGUC